GGCGUGCCUAACACAUGCAAGUCGAGCGCGAAAGUGGACUUCGGUCCACGAGUAGAGCGGCGAACGGGUGAGUAACGCGUGGGUGAUCUACCCUCGAGUGGGGAAUAACACCGGGAAACUGGUGCUAAUACCGCAUGACAUCUUCGGUUCGUUCCGAAGAUCAAAGCCGGGGACCGUCAGGCCUGGCGCUUGAGGAGGAGCCCGCGUCCGAUUAGCUUGUUGGCGGGGUAAUGGCCCACCAAGGCUUCUAUCGGUAGCCGGCCUGAGAGGGCGGACGGCCACACUGGGACUGAGACACGGCCCAGACUCCUACGGGAGGCAGCAGUGGGGAAUUUUCCGCAAUGGGGGAAACCCUGACGGAGCAACGCCGCGUGGAGGAUGAAGGCCCUCGGGUCGUAAACUCCUGUCGAUCGGGAAGAAUGCGUCCGACUUAAUACGUCGGUGCGUUGACUGUACCGGUGGAGGAAGCCACGGCUAACUCUGUGCCAGCAGCCGCGGUAAGACAGAGGUGGCAAGCGUUGUUCGGAAUUACUGGGCGUUAAGGGCGCGCANGC
rnacentral:rRNA from 1 species